AUGCAGUUGACGAGUCUCAAAUAGGACGAAACGCGCGUUCGAAAU
rnacentral:hammerhead_ribozyme from 1 species